AUUGAACGCUGGCGGCAGGCCUAACACAUGCAAGUCGAGCGGAUGAAGGGAGCUUGCUCCUGGAUUCAGCGGCGGACGGGUGAGUAAUUCCUAGGAAUCUGCCUGGUAGUGGGGGAUAACGUCCGGAAACGGGCGCUAAUACCGCAUACGUCCUGAGGGAGAAAGUGGGGGAUCUUCGGACCUCACGCUAUCAGAUGAGCCUAGGUCGGAUUAGCUAGUUGGUGGGGUAAAGGCCUACCAAGGCGACGAUCCGUAACUGGUCUGAGAGGAUGAUAAGUCACACUGGAACUGAGACACGGUCCAGACUCCUACGGGAGGCAGCAGUGGGGAAUAUUGGACAAUGGGCGAAAGCCUGAUCCAGCCAUGCCGCGUGUGUGAAGAAGGUCUUCGGAUUGUAAAGCACUUUAAGUUGGGAGGAAGGGCAGUAAGUUAAUACCUUGCUGUUUUGACGUUACCAACAGAAUAAGCACCGGCUAACUUCGUG
rnacentral:rRNA from 1 species